CCUACGGGAGGCAGCAGUGAGGAAUAUUGGUCAAUGGGCGCGAGCCUGAACCAGCCAAGUAGCGUGAAGGAUGACUGCCCUACGGGUUGUAAACUUCUUUUAUAAAGGAAUAAAGUUAGGCACGUGUGCCUUUUCGCAUGUACUUUAUGAAUAAGGAUCGGCUAACUUCGUGCCAGCAGCCGCGGUAAUACGGAGGAUCCGAGCGUUAUCCGGAUUUAUUGGGUUUAAAGGGAGCGUAGAUGGGUUGUUAAGUUAGUUGUGAAAGUUUGCGGCUCAACCGUAAAAUUGCAAUUGAUACUGGCAACCUUGAGUACAGUUGAGGUAGGCGGAAUUCGUGGUGUAGCGGUGAAAUGCUUAGAUAUCACGAGGAACUCCGAUUGCGAAGGCAGCCUACUAAACUGCCACUGACAUUGAUGCUCGAAAGUGUGGGUAUCAAACAGGAUUAGAUACCCUGGUAGUC
rnacentral:rRNA from 1 species